UACGUAGGGUCCGAGCGUUAUCCGGAAUUACUGGGCGUAAAGAGUUCGUAGGCGGAUUUUUAAGUCGGAUGUUAAAUAUGCAGGCUCAACUUGCAUGCUGCAUCCGAUACUGGAAGUCUUGAGAGUGGAAGAGGUAAGCGGAAUUUCCGGUGGAGCGGUAAAAUGCGUAGAUAUCGGAAGGAACACCAAUGGCGAAGGCAGCCUACUGGGCCAUUUCUGACGCUGAGGAACGAAAGCGUGGGGAGCAAACAGG
rnacentral:rRNA from 1 species